rnacentral:rRNA from 1 species
CCAGACUCCUACGGGAGGCAGCAGUGAGGAAUAUUGGUCAAUGGCCGCAGGGCUGAACCAGCCAAGUCGCGUGAGGGAUGACGGUCCUAUGGAUUGUAAACCUCUUUUGUCAGGGAGCAAAGGGCGCCACGUGUGGCGCUUUGCGAGUACCUGAAGAAAAAGCAUCGGCUAACUCCGUGCCAGCAGCCGCGGUAAUACGGAGGAUGCGAGCGUUAUCCGGAUUUAUUGGGUUUAAAGGGUGCGUAGGCGGAAUAUCAAGUCAGCGGUAAAAAUUCGGGGCUCAACCCCGUCGUGCCGUUGAAACUGGUGUUCUUGAGUGGGCGAGAAGUAUGCGGAAUGCGUGGUGUAGCGGUGAAAUGCAUAGAUAUCGCGCAGAACUCCGAUUGCGAAGGCAGCAUGCCGGCUCCACACUGACGCUGAGGCACGAAAGCGUGGGUAUCGAACAGGAUUAGAUACCCCAGUAA